rnacentral:rRNA from 1 species
UACGUAUGGUGCAAGCGUUAUCCGGAUUUACUGUGUGUAAAGGGAGCGCAGGCGGCACGGCAAGCCUGAUGUGAAAGCCCGCGGCCCAACCGCGGGACUGCAUUGGGAACUACCGGGCUGGAGUGCCGGAGAGGUAGGCGGAAUUCCUAGUGUAGCGGUGAAAUGCGUAGAUAUUAGGAGGAACACCAGUGGCGAAGGCGGCCUACUGGACGGUGACUGACGCUGAGGCUCGAAAGCGUGGGGAGCAAACAGG